UGAGCAGUGGGGGUUCGAGCAGCACGGCGUACGGAGCUCCGGUGAAUUCGGAAAGAGAAGGGUGGGGGAUGGGACGAUACGGGGGGAGGUACGAGGUGACAUUCCUGGGAGUUCAAUUAAAAAAAAAAAAUAAAAAAGGCGGUCGGAGGAGCCAGGAAGACUCGCACCAGCUGAAGCAGGACGAAGGAAGGAUUUCUGUUGGCCUUUGGAACAACAGAGAAGAAACUAUCUCCAGCUGAAGGAGCCGGGAGGAAGUGAAGUUGCAACAGUUACAGGGAAAGCAGUCCAAAGCUGAAGAAACCAAGAGCUACGGUCUUCACGGGAAAAGGACCGGCGAGGGACUCUGGCUGCAGGCUGACUUGCUCAGUGGCUUCGUCCGCUGCAGGGCAGUAAGCUAGGUAUGUACGAUGGUUAGCAGCACGAAUCACGAAGCAGCCGGUACAACGCCGCCUGUCGUCACCAGCCGGACCUCCAGCUUGCCUCGUCACUCGCCAGGUGUCUCUGCCGGCGCUAAGAUCAAGCGGCGGCGCCGGCGGAACCGCGACCCGUGGUGGAAGCGCUGGUGCUGCUGCGGCUGCCGGUGCUUGAUCGAGUGUGACUGGUGCGCCUCGGAAGACGAAGACGACGACGGAGAUGGGGACCGAGACGGAGACUCGAGCGGCGGCGGAGAUGUGCCGAGCGGAGAGGGAGAGGGAGGGGGAGGAGAGGGAGGAGGCGGAGGAGGAGGUGGAGAGGCUGGCGGAGGGGGAGGGGGAGGCGGCGGAGGAGAUGGGCACAGCAGUGACGAGGAGGAUGGAGACGGAGGGGAGGGCCAGAACGGCGACACGGGAGGUCAGGGCAGCGGACACGGAGGUCAGGACGCGGCCGGAGGUCACGAUAGCGGGGGGCAUGGGGGAGGUCAUAGCGGAGACCAUGACACAGGACACGGAGGCCAUACCGGAGCUACAGGAGGGACAGACAGCGGCGGGGGAGGACGCAGCGGGGGUGGGUUCAGCGGCUCUAGCCGCCACAACUUUAGCAGGUCCAGCGGUAGCCGACGGAGCAGUUUCAGCUUUGACCAUUCCGAUGGUGGCUCCUUCGGUGGUGACUCAGGGGGCGGUGAUUAGGGACAGCUGUGUUUUCACGUAUUUCAGAGGUUAUGGCAAUAGUGCGAAUUAGGCCUCACCAACGCUGCCCCCAGAACAUGGUAGGUAGGCGUGGCCACUGUUGGCAUUGACGAGUUUCUUAUUGGUUUAUGAAUACUAUAUAUUGUAAGAUAGGAUAACGAG